GAUGAACGCUGGCGGCGUGCUUAACACAUGCAAGUCGAACGAUGAAAGCGGGAGCUUGCUCCUGCUGGAUUAGUGGCGAACGGGUGAGUAACACGUGAGUAACCUGCCCUUGACUCUGGGAUAAGCGUUGGAAACGACGUCUAAUACCGGAUACGACCUUCGGAGGCAUCUCCUGGGGGUGGAAAGAAUUUCGGUCAAGGAUGGACUCGCGGCCUAUCAGCUAGUUGGUGAGGUAAUGGCUCACCAAGGCGACGACGGGUAGCCGGCCUGAGAGGGUGACCGGCCACACUGGGACUGAGACACGGCCCAGACUCCUACGGGAGGCAGCAGUGGGGAAUAUUGCACAAUGGGCGCAAGCCUGAUGCAGCAACGCCGCGUGAGGGACGACGGCCUCGGUUGUAACCUCUUUAGUAGGUAAGAAGCGAAAGUGACGGUACCUGCAGAAAAG
rnacentral:rRNA from 1 species